rnacentral:rRNA from 1 species
CGCGCGCCAACCCGCAAGGGAAGCAGCGUCCUACGCUAUGAGCGGUAACUGGGAGUG